rnacentral:rRNA from 1 species
AGUGAACGCUGGCGGUAGGCCUAACACAUGCAAGUCGAACGGCAGCACAGUAAGAGCUUGCUCUUACGGGUGGCGAGUGGCGGACGGGUGAGGAAUACAUCGGAAUCUACUUUUUCGUGGGUGAUAACGUAGGGAAACUUACGCUAAUACCGCAUACGACCUACGGGUGAAAGCAGGGGAUCUUCGGACCUUUCGCGAUUGAAUGAGCCGAUGUCGGAUUAGCUAGUUGGCGGGGUAAAGGCCCACCAAGGCGACGAUCCGUAGCUGGUCUGAGAGGAUGAUCAGCCACACUGGAACUGAGACACGGUCCAGACUCCUACGGGAGGCAGCAGUGGGGAAUAUUGGACAAUGGGCGCAAGCCUGAUCCAGCCAUACCGCGUGGGUGAAGAAGGCCUUCGGGUUGUAAAGCCCUUUUGUUGGGAAAGAAAAGCAGCAGGUUAAUACCCCGCUGUUCUGACGGUACCCAAAGAAUAAGCACCGGCUAACUUCGUG